GGGGCAGGAGCCUGGGUGCACUUCUGGCCCCGAGGGGAGAGCAGGGCCGCCCAGGGCACUUGUUCAUUGAGCACCUACUGGGUGCCAGCGUUGGCCCUCCCGUCCUCUCGGUCUUCAGCUGCACUCGGGGAAGUGGGCCUCACUCCCACGCCAGGCUGAGGCUCAGGGCCGUCGACUCCUGGAGAGGGGAGAUCUGAGCUCAGGGUGUCUGGUCACGGGCCUUGGUUGCCUUCCUCUCUGCCACUCUGGCGCUUGCCUCUUGGGGCUGCCUCAGUUUUCUCCCUCCCACCUACUUCUCAGGGUGCUUUGAAGGUGGGUAGGAGCGUGUUUUCCCAGAGUCCUCCGGGCCUCCCAGGGCAGCGCGCUCUUAGCCGAAGCCCAGGGACAGCGCGGUAAUGAGCCCUUUCCCAGCACCCUGUGGCCAGGAGCGUUAGCCCCAUUGUAGAGGUGGGGAAGCCGAGGCCAGGGAGCCCCAUCUGGGACCUGCCCACGGUGCCGUGUGAGUCAGCGGUGACCCGGGGCGACCUGUCUGUUCUCCUUCCCUCCCGACAAGCGGAGGCUGAGGAGGAGGAUUGGCAGCCUCGGGAGCCUCCGGCCCGUCCCUGGGAGGCAAGAGGCACAGCCAGUCUUGGUGUCUCUGGUCUGGCUGAGCCUGGCUUCAGGUGAGAAGGGAAACGUGAGGAUGGGGGAGUCCAGGUUCCUUCCUCCCUGGACACGAUUCCUGGUGGCAUUGCUGUGACAUCGUCCCUUAGCUUUCUCCAGCCAUUACUCUGUGGUAAGCCCAGGGCCAAGAUGGUACUAGAGCCUGAGAGAGAAGCAGCUGAUGUGGAGAGGGGGAGGGAGGGAGCUUGUGCCACACACAGUAGGCCCGCUCAUCCCAUCACAGUGAAGAAUCCGGCCCAGAGGGGUUGACAGUUCAGGUCGGCGUGUGGAGCAAAGUGGAGAUCCGAACUCAGGCUCGUUGGAAUUCAAAAAUGUUGCAGCUUCUGAAGUUGCCCCCCCCCCCCCCCCCCCCCCGCCCGCCUCUCUGGAACCUCCUUGGAGAGGUGGGGUCUACAGAGGGUCAGCUUCGUGGCCCACGACCUGCAAGACUGCACAGGGCGCCCCCCCGGGAAGGAUCACAUGCUGAGUGGUGACUUGGUUCUGUCCAUCUGUGUCCCUCUCCAAAUGCAUAAUAAUUUUUGGAAAAGGGGCCCCGAGGUUUGCUGUUUUCGGACGCUGCAAUCGUGUGACCCGUACGGCUCCACACACAAGAUGGGAGGCCUCUACUCCGGGGAGGGCCUUGGGCGGAUGCUUCCCUGUGACAUCCUCAUCCGCACAACCAGGAGUGUGGGUGGCCAGCACGGGCCUUGGGGCUGUCCCUUCCCAGGACCCUGCCCACAAGGGCUUGAAGAGGGACCGACAGAGACUGAGUCUGGGUUUCCCAGGAAGACCUGCUACCUCACGGAGCUUCAGGGUGGCUGAGAGGUUCCAGAGACCAAGGAAAGUGACCUGGCAGCCCUCGACGGCUGCAGCUGGGGCAGGGCCCCUCAGUGCGGCUCUCAGUCACAGGAAGCUGCGGGACAUUGUUGACAAAUGUGAUCACAACGCUUUGAUGGUCCCAACGGGGUGGGGUGGGAGUUGUUUUUCCUUCUAAGCAAACACACUUGGAGGAGUUUCGAAGUUGUCACCAGGCAGGUGUGAACUCACGGCAGCCACCGGGAGCUGCUUCUGGUGCUCGGAGGCACAUCCCCAGCCUGCCCUGGGCGGAGCUGCUCUGUGGAGCCGGACAGGGCCCCAAGUGCCCCGAUGGCUCAGGCCGGGCAGCUGAGCCCCCCAGGCCCGGGCCAGUGUGGCCUGGAGACCCGACGUCCUGAAGAACCCAGCUCCCAUGACCACAAGAUGAC
rnacentral:lncRNA from 1 species